CGCACGGGUGAGUAACACGUAUCCAACCUGCCGUCUACUCUUGGACAGCCUUCUGAAAGGAAGAUUAAUCCAGGAUGGCAUCAUGAGUUCACAUGUCCGCAUGAUUAAAGGUAUUUUCCGGUAGACGAUGGGGAUGCGUUCCAUUAGAUAGUAGGCGGGGUAACGGCCCACCUAGUCUUCGACGGAUAGGGGUUCUGAGAGGAAGGUCCCCCACAUUGGAACUGAGGCACGGUCCAA
rnacentral:rRNA from 1 species